UUUGAAAACAGUGCGUAUACCUGGGCUGAGAAGGCGCAACAUGACCUCUUAAUAUGAGUGAUUUGAUUGGAUUGCUCUCUCAGAGGGCUGAUGCUAUAAAGCUGGAAAAAGCACACACGGAACAAAUAAAUAAAUAAAUAGCCGC
rnacentral:lncRNA from 1 species